UCCUUGGUCCUGGGAAUGUUGUGCUCCCAU
rnacentral:piRNA from 1 species